rnacentral:rRNA from 1 species
AUGGAGGGGCAGAUGUUCGGUGGCGGCAAAUGGGGCUCGUCGCCCUACCCUGGCUCCAACGCCAACAUCAACGCCAACGAGAAUCAGUUCCUGCUCGAUGCCAAGGCCGCGCCGCAGCAGCUUCAACUCUUUGGGAGCAACUCAGUUGGCACCAGUGGAUAUUAUAACUACAAUGGAAAUGACAACCCAUAUGUUAUGAACCAACCAAGAAAGACAAGCAAUUGUACAGCGGAUGAAAAGAAGCUCAAGCUUCAGAUGUCCUUGAACAACUUUCAUGCAGGAGAUGCCGACCGGUUGGCAUGUACUGGUAAUUCAAGUGUUGUGUCUACUGGGCUGAAAUUGUCCUAUGAGGAUAAUGAGCGUAAUUCUUCCUUCACGUCUGGUAGUGGAAGCAUGUCUUCCUUGACUUCCACGACACCUUUUGGUCAUGAUAUUAUGACAGAAAUGGAGAAAGGAAACAAAGAGAUUGACUAUUAUUUGAGAAGUCAGGUGGAACAACUCAGUAGGCGUGUGAAAGAGAUGAAGCAGAGGCAGAUGGUUUCUCUUGUGGCUACUCUCGAACGAGGAGUAGGAAAGAAGCUGAAGGAGAAGGAGCUCGAGGUGGAGGCGAUGAACAGGAAAAGCCAGGAGCUGAAUGAACAGAUCAGACAGGUCGCCAUGCAAGUCCAGUCAUGGCAGUCGGCUGCGCUCUACAACGAAUCCGUCGCGAGCACCCUGAAGAGCCAGCUCAUGAAAGUGGUGGCAGACCAUGCCAACCGCACCAGGGAAGGUUGUGGCGACAGCGAAGUGGAGAGCGGCGCCGUGCCCAUCCAGAAGAACAUCAACGCCGUCCCCGGAGGCUUCUUUGAGUCGAGCCUCCUCCCUGGAGUCAAGAGCGGCGUAGCCGGCAGCGGGCUUGCAGCCUGCAGGUGGUGCGGAGCGAAGGAGGCGGCAGUGCUGGUGAUGCCGUGCCGCCACCUGUGCCUGUGCGCCGACUGCGAUAGGGUUGCAGAUGCAUGCCCUGUCUGUCAGUACCCCAAGAGUGGUAGCGUUGAGAUCAACAUGUCCUAG